rnacentral:rRNA from 1 species
AAUAUCAAAGGUGAGCCAGUACAGGAUGGACCCGCGUCUGAUUAGCUAGUUGGUAAGGUAACGGCUUACCAAGGCGACGAUCAGUAGCCGACCUGAGAGGGUGAUCGGCCACAUUGGAACUGAGACACGGUCCACACUCCUACGGGAGGCAGCAGUGGGGAAUAUUGCACAAUGGGCGAAAGCCUGAUGCAGCAACGCCGCGUGAGUGAUGAAGGCCUUCGGGUCGUAAAACUCUGUCCUCAAGGAAGAUAAUGACGGUACUUGAGGAGGAACCCCCGGCUAA